GGUACAGCUGUCCAAUGAGUCAGUCCAGAAGCCCCUCUUUCUCUCCCCUGAAAACCCAGGUUCUGAGGUGAUAGGGUGACAGAAGGCGAGAGGCCACACAGCUUGGUAUUAUGGGAGGGUUUUACUGGCCCUCGGGUCGACUUAGUGGCUGCUGAAGAGAGUUAGCGGCUAUACUUGGUACCUCGUUAUUAACUUAAAAGAGAGAGACCGGCUGAGGAAGAAAGCAGACGCAGAUCGCAGCUGCUGAUGACAUACAAAUGGCCGGCAAGUGAUGACACAGAGGGAGGGUUUGCAUCACUGCAUAUGAUCACAGGAAACUGGAAACAUGAAACCAAUGAUAAACAACAUAUGUAUGUUCUCACAAACCCAUGCAUUCAUUUAACUACAUCAUAUAGCUCUUUUCAUCUAUUUUGACCACAAUUCCUGUGUUAUGUGAGUGUAGCAAAUGUGACAAACAUGUAUGAAAUCUAUAGAAAAAUACCUCACAUUGUACUUUAAAUGCACACGAUGCGAUAUAAAUAUGCUUUUAUGCUUGUCCAUGCAUGUAUGUGGGAAUGAGAGCAUGUCUGUGUAUAUAAGUGAGCGCUUGUGCCUGUCUAAAUGUAGCCACGGUGGUGGUGGCUUCCUGGGGAAUUGAAAUUAAUGAGUGUAAUCAGAAGCAAACAGCGAGCCAGGCAAGGGCAAUUAAUACAAGCAAGGCGAGCAGAGCUGCUGGUUUGCGCGGCCAGGCAUGGCUGGAGCUGAAGAGAUGGAGGAUUAAGAUGCAACCACAGACAAACUCCACAGCUUUUUCCACACGCAGCAGAUGUCCACAGGGGGAAGGCGCUGGGAGCCUGGCAUCGACACGCAUCCGCCAAAUGGCCACUCGGUCAGCCCGGCCCAAUAAGAGCUGACAACCUCCUGGCAGCAUCCUGAUAACACCAUCCUCUCUGUUUAGUUGGUGGACCAAGGGAAGGCCCUCAUCGGGGCCCCCGCACUGCAUACGAAAGGGACUGAGUGCAAAGCUGCACAGUGGAGCCUCUAUGUGUGAAAGAGGGAGAGAGACAGAGGGACAUAAAGAGAUAAAGAGAGAGAGAAGAGGGGAGAGCAUUGUGUGAAACUCAAGUACAUCUCAAUGUGAAGGGACAUUUUUCUAACCCUUGUUCCCUCUCCAUGUUUUUGUGAUUCAAACAGCCUUGGAUGCAUGCAGUGCUUCAGUCAUACAUAUUUGCCUCAGUAUAAAUAAACACAUUGAACCCAGCUGCCUUCUCAA